GGCUACUGUUGCCCCCUCUCAGGAAAAGGCUCACAGGGAAGAGUCCCUCCAGAGUUGCCUGAGGCAACCCCAGGGGCCCAGGAGGAGAGAUCGCAAAGCUUUAAGGUCUGCAUCUGUGGUGACCGUCUCCCAUUUGGAAAAUUAACUGCUUACAGAUGUUGUGUGUGGCACAGCCUUCUCCCAGGCAGUGAAACCACUGGGGCUUGGAUUUCAUUUCAAAAGGAAGAGGAGGGAAGCAAAGCUGCGUGUCUCUGAUAAAGCUCAGAGCCAGAUCGAAUGUGAAUUGAAGCCAUUUUCCUUGCCCCCAGGUUUCCGGGUCCCUGAACAAGAUCUUCUAUUCUCGGGAUAUGGGAGGCAUCAGCACAGUAGAAAACGAAGCUGACCAUCUCUCAGGAGGCAGACUGAAAUAUUGUCUAAUCUGGAGAAGCUACACCGCUCAAUAUGGAGGUUAGGAGAAGAGCCUAGAACACUCUGCUAGCUGCAAUGGAACCCCUUAAAGACACUCUGGUUCAAUAUCCGGGGUCCUGAGGCUGCUGUGGUGUGGAAGGCAGUGAAGUGGAAUAUCAUCAGGAUGAAGGAAAUGGGGGUCAGUAACUUGCACAGAGUCACACAACUUAUAAGCUGUGGAAACAGAAUUCACCUCCAUUUUCUUUAACACUGGCUUAGAGAGAGACAUACAACUGGAAAUUGCCUGUGAAGAGAAGAGAUGGAAUGGCUAAUCUGUACAAGAAACCUAAGAGAAGGAAAUGUAGUUGCUUCAUUCGUUGGGCCAUUAUUCAGGGAGUCAAUAUGUAGAGCUCACAAGUAAAGGCAGGUGAGCUCCUUAAGGACUUGACGCUGGGUAAUCAGGCUUUCCCAGAAGAGAGAAUAGGGCUAUCGCUUGUUUUAAUAGCAUUU
ensembl:lncRNA